CAUUUGGGCAGAGGGAUCCUCCUCCCAUCAUCACUGGACUGCAGCAAUUACAGGAGCAAAGCUGGAAACGCCUCUGAGAAGCGCUGGAGUCGCACGGAGCAAACACCUGAUGCUUCAGGACAAAAUCAAUUAGAAAUAAAAAGAAAGUGAAUUAAAAAAAUUCCUCAAAGGGAAACCUUAGAA